AUUGAACGCUGGCGGCAGGCCUAACACAUGCAAGUCGAGCGAGCAGCGGACGGGUGGGUGAUGGCUGGGAAACUGCCUGAUGGAGGGGGAAAACUACUGGAAACGGUAGCUAAUAGCGCAUACCAUCAGAUCUGCCCAGAUGGGAUUAGCUAGUCGGUGGGGUAACGGCUGUCCGAGGCGACGAUUCCGAGCUGGUCUGAGCGGCUGACCAGCCACACUGGAACUGGACCACGGUCCCGACUCCUACGGGAGGGAGGAGGGGGGAAUAUUGCACAAAGGGACGAAGCCUGGAGCAGCCAUGCCGCGUGUAUGAAGAAGGCCUUGGGGUUGUAAAGUACUUUCAGCGGGGAGGCGUUACCCGCAGAAGAAAGCCCGGCUAACCCCCUGCCAGCAGCCGCCGUAAUAC
rnacentral:rRNA from 1 species